rnacentral:rRNA from 1 species
GAUGAACGCUGGCGGCGUGCCUAAUACAUGCAAGUCGAGCGAACGGACGAGAAGCUUGCUUUUCUGAUGUUAGCGGCGGACGGGUGAGUAACACGUGGAUAACCUACCUAUAAGACUGGGAUAACUUCGGGAAACCGGAGCUAAUACCGGAUAAUAUUUUGAACCGCAUGGUUCAAAAGUGAAAGACGGUCUUGCUGUCACUUAUAGAUGGAUCCGCGCUGCAUUAGCUAGUUGGUAAGGUAACGGCUUACCAAGGCAACGAUGCAUAGCCGACCUGAGAGGGUGAUCGGCCACACGGGAACUGAGACACGGUCCAGACUCCUACGGGAGGCAGCAGUAGGGAAUCUUCCGCAAUGGGCGAAAGCCUGACGGAGCAACGCCGCGUGAGUGAUGAAGGUCUUCGGAUCGUAAAACUCUGUUAUUAGGGAAGAACAUAUGUGUAAGUAACUGUGCACAUCUUGACGGUACCUAAUCAGAAAGCAACGGCUAACUACGUG